rnacentral:rRNA from 1 species
UACGUAGGGUGCGAGCGUUGUCCGGAAUUAUUGGGCGUAAAGGGCUCGUAGGCGGUUUGUCGCGUCGGGAGUGAAAACCUCGGGCUUAACUCGGGGCUUGCUUUCGAUACGGGCAGACUAGAGGUAUGCAGGGGAGAACGGAAUUCCUGGUGUAGCGGUGAAAUGCGCAGAUAUCAGGAGGAACACCGAUGGCGAAGGCGGGUCUCUGGGCCGAUACUGACGCUGAGGAGCGAAAGCGUGGGGAGCGAACAGG